rnacentral:rRNA from 1 species
AUUGAACGCUGGCGGCAGGCCUAACACAUGCAAGUCGAAAGAGUGGCGGACGGGUGAGUAAUUUCUGGCAAACUGACUGACCGAGGGGGAUAACUACUGGAUACGGUAGCUAAUACCGCAUACCAUCAGAUGUGUCCAGAUGGGAUGUGCUAGCUGGUGGGGUAACGGCCCACCAAGCCGGCGAUCCCUAGCUGGUCUGAGAGGAUGACCAGCCACACUGAAACUGAGACACGGUCCAGAAUCCUACGAGAGGCAGCAGUGGGGAAUAUUGCACAAUGGGCGCAAGCCUGAUGCCGCCAUGCCGCGUGUAUGAAGAAGGCCUUCGGGUUGUAAAGUACUUUCAGCGGGGAGGCGUUACCCGCAGAAGAAGCACCGGCUAACUCCGUGCCAGCAGCCGCGGUAAUAC